rnacentral:rRNA from 1 species
GACGAACGCUGGCGGCGUGCCUAAUACAUGCAAGUUGAGCGAUGAAGAUUGGUGCUUGCACCAAUUUGAAGAGCAGCGAACGGGUGAGUAACGCGUGGGGAAUCUGCCUUUGAGCGGGGGACAACAUUUGGAAACGAAUGCUAAUACCGCAUAACAACUUUAAACAUAAGUUUUAAGUUUGAAAGAUGCAAUUGCAUCACUCAAAGAUGAUCCCGCGUUGUAUUAGCUAGUUGGUGAGGUAAAGGCUCACCAAGGCGAUGAUACAUAGCCGACCUGAGAGGGUGAUCGGCCAAAAUGGGACUGAGACACGGCCCAAACUCCUACGAGAGGCAGCAGUAGGGAAUCUUCGGCAAUGGACGAAAGUCUGACCGAGCAACGCCGCGUGAGUGAAGAAGGUUUUAGGAUCGUAAAACUCUGUUGGUAGAGAAGAACGUUGGUGAGAGUGGAAAGCUCAUCAAGUGACGGUAACUACCCAGAAAGGGACGGCUAACUACGUG